rnacentral:tRNA from 1 species
CGGGAUGUAGCUCAGCUUGGUAGAGCACCUGGUUUGGGACCAGGGGUCGCAGGUUCGAAUCCUGUCAUCCCGA